rnacentral:rRNA from 1 species
UGGGGAAUAUUGCGCAAUGGACGAAAGUCUGACGCAGCAACGCCGCGUGAGGGAUGACGGCCUUCGGGUUGUAAACCUCUUUCAGCAGGGACGAAGCGAGAGUGACGGUACCUGCAGAAGAAGGACCGGCCAACUACGUGCCAGCAGCCGCGGUAAUACGUAGGGUCCGAGCGUUGUCCGGAAUUAUUGGGCGUAAAGGGCUCGUAGGCGGUCCGUCACGUCGGGAGUGAAAACUCGGAGCUUAACUCCGAGCCUGCUUCCGAUACGGGCAGACUAGAGGUAGGCAGGGGAGAGCGGAACUCCUGGUGUAGCGGUGGAAUGCGCAGAUAUCAGGAAGAACACCGGUGGCGAAGGCGGCUCUCUGGGCCGUUACCUGACGCUGAGGAGCGAAAGCGUGGGUAGCGAACAGGAUUAGAUACCCUGGUAGUCCACGCCGUAAACGUUGGGCGCUAGGUGUGGGGGACGAUUCCACGUCCUCCGUGCCGCAGCUAACGCAUUAAGCG